CUUUUUUUUAUAAGUUUUGGAACGCACUCUGUCAUGUGAGAGACAUGUGAUAACCUAAAGUUUUGCAGUGACACAUUAUCGGAGCAGACGGACAGUCUAUACAAGGUGUCAGAAAAGUUUAAAAUACCAGUUAAAGUAAGCACGUGUAUUUGACGUAAGGAACAAAGCCCGUCAUAAAGAGGAAAAAGGAGAAGAAAAAUAUGAGCAGAGAAUGAAGAAACAGUGGUUCGAGACGUGGAAGAAAGCUUUUAGUCAACGAUAGACGCAGGUAAAAGGGGAGGCAGCGUUGAACAGAGGUGAAAGAAGUAUACUUAAUGGGAUCUGUGGGAAAGUUGGAGCUGGCUGUGAAAAAAUGUAAGAAUCUUCAUAAAACUGAAAAUAUGCACUUGGAGAUGAGAGAAAAAAUGAGGGAUUCGAAGAACUUGCUGAAGGAGAAGGAAAUACGCAAUAUUAAACAAUUAAGAGGUAUGAAAAAUCAACAAAUUCAACAACAAGGUAAGCU